rnacentral:rRNA from 1 species
UAGUCCACGCUGUAAACGAUGUUCACUCGCUGUUGGCGAUAUACUGUCAGCGGCCAAGCGAAAGCAUUAAGUGAACCACCUGGGGAGUACGAUCGCAAGGUUGAAACUCAAAGGAAUUGACGGGGGGCCCGCACAAGCGGUGGAGCAUGUGGAUUAAUUCGAUGAUACGCGAGGAACCUUACCAGGGCUUAAAUGGUCGUUGACCGUCGCCGAAAGGUGUCUUUCUUUUAGACAAUGAUCAAGGUGCUGCAUGGCUGUCGUCAGCUCGUGCCGUGAGGUGUUGGGUUAAGUCCCGGCAACGAGCGCAACCCCUUUCNCUAGUUGCCAGCAUGUAAUGGUGGGGACUCUAGAGAUACUGCCUACGUAAGUAGUGAGGAGGUAGGGGACGACGUCAAGGUCAUCAUGGGCCCUUACGUCCUGGGGGCUUCACACGUGCUACAAUGGGAUGGGUACAAUGAGCAGCCACUUAGC